rnacentral:rRNA from 13 species
GUUUGAUCAUGGCUCAGAUUGAACGCUGGCGGCAGGCCUAACACAUGCAAGUCGAACGGUAGCAGGAAGUGCUUGCACUUCGCUGACGAGUGGCGGACGGGUGAGUAAUACUUGGGAAUGUGCCUUUACGUGGGGGAUAACUAUUGGAAACGAUAGCUAAUACCGCAUAAUGUCUACGGACCAAAGGG